rnacentral:rRNA from 1 species
UACGGGGGGGGCAAGCGUUGUUCGGAUUUACUGGGCGUAAAGGGCGCGUAGGCGGUCAGCACAGGUCAGUUGUGAAAUCUCCGGGCUUAACUCGGAAAGGUCAACUGAUACUGUGCGACUAGAGUGCGGAAGGGGCAACUGGAAUUCUCGGUGUAGCGGUGAAAUGCGUAGAUAUCGAGAGGAACACCUGCGGCGAAGGCGGGUUGCUGGGCCGACACUGACGCUGAUGCGCGAAAGCCAGGGGAGCGAACGGG